GCGCGCGGGGUUGGCUGCCGGGAGGUCGACGCUAGUGCGGUCCCCCGCGCGGCGGAGGGGCCCGGGCCGCGGUAUCUGCGCACUGAGACGUCGGCGGAAGGCUAGAGGCCGUGCUCUCGCCCCCGCAGAAGGCCACCACUCCUUGAGAAGGCCGGAGGGACAAAGCACCGGGCCUGCGCCGGGGGCAUUCAAGAAGGAAGCCAGGCCCGACCGGGGGUGGCGCACGCUUCCCGAACCCCAGGCCCACGGCCCGGUUCCGCGCGGGCAGUUGGCGCCCCCUCGGGUCGGCACAGCAGACCUCUUAGUAAUGGUCCCCAGGGAGUGUGAGUGGGUCCCCGCCAAUCUUUUAAGGUUCAGAGAUCCACCGUCGAACGAAGCCGCUUUUACAACUUCCCCAUUUAGCCUCUUUCCUCCCCCGCCGCUGGCUAAAGCGCUGAACCUUGCCAUCCUCCUGGGGUGCCUAACGAUUUGCCCUGCCUUGGACAGCCAGUCCUCUUCAGGUGGUGGGCUGCUGGUAGGGGUAGGAAGCAAGGCCUGGGGCACAGUUGGGGACCCUCACACCUGAUUUUCUGUUUUAAGGAGGAACUGGGUUUCAAAAAGCUGUAGAGUCAGUGGGAGUUUCCUUUUGUGGCCCUUGGCACUUUUUAAAACACCCAUCUGCAAGGCGGGAACAGCGGAGAAAGUGCUAUGUAGUUCAUAAAAAGGAUAUUGGGAGACUGUUAUCUUAAGAGUUUUUCUAGAGAUUGUUUUGUAAUCUCUCAGUUUAGAGAGUUGAUAUGUCCCGCGCCAUCAGCCCGCUGAAUGGGAUCUUCCUUCAGACAGGGACUGAGAAACGGAAAUACUACCAUCCUCCAGCCAAUCUGUUGGGAGGACUGCUUGCAGAGGACUCGUGCUCCAGAUGUUGCACUAGAGGCGCUGCAAGUGUGAGCAGCAGGUAGAUGAAACUCAAGAGAAAAGGUGUGGAUAAAUGAAACUAGCCCAUGAUGAACCUGUUUUCUCCGUGACCACAAUAUUAACCAGGAUGAAUGGCGUGACUUUCAGCAAAAGAAAUCAUGGUUUCCCUUAGUAGUUGUGUUAUUUUGCUAUGGUGGCUAUAACAAAAUACCACAAACUGGGCGACUGACUCAACAGAAAUCUAUUGUCUCUCAGUUCUGGAGGAUAGAAGUCUGAGAUCAAGGUGUUGGUUCUUUCUAAGGGGUAUGAGGGAGAAUCUGUUCCAUGGUUCUUUGCUAGCUUCUGGUGGUUUGCUGGCAAUCUUUGACAUUUUGUGGCUUACAGUCUAUCACUGUGAUCUCUGCCUUCACAUGGUGUUCUUCCUGUGUGCAUGUCUGUCUCUGUGUCCAAAUCUACCUCUUUGUAAGGAUACCAGUCACAUUGGAUUAGGGCCCACCCUAAUGAUUUUGUCUUGAUUAUUUGCAAAGAUCCUGUCUCCAAAUAAGGUCACAUUCACAGGAGUCGGAGGUUAAGGCUAUAACAUAUUUUGGGGGGAAACAAUUCAACCCAUAGCAGUAGGC
rnacentral:lncRNA from 10 species